rnacentral:lncRNA from 1 species
UCAUUGCAUUAUAUAGGGAGAGAACAAGAUUUACAACAAUAGAGGAGGAGGAAUCAUCCCCUCUUUGGCAACUCUCAACCUCACUCUAUUUCUCUCUUUUCAGUGCUGCAAUGGCAGCUACUGUUGGCUGCCUUGGCAGCCCACUCUCUCCUACAUUUCUCACAUCUUUGGCUCUACACACUUUCUCUUAACUCUCUCAUUUUGCUCUCAACCGUAUGCCUCUAUUUAUAGGCAUCCAUGGUGCUGCUCCAUUUGUUCUUUGGUCAAUAAUGGUGGCUGCCAACUCCAGCUCUUCUUCAACAAAGGUGGCUGCCAACUCCAGCUCUUCUUCAACAAUGGUGGCUGCACCUAGCAGCCCUCUUUGACAAUGGCAAUGGCAGCCAUCCUCUUCUAGAAGAUAGGCUGUAAAUGCUCUAUGAUUGCUGCACAUAAUGACAACAAUCCUAACAAUCACCCCCUUUGCCAUUCAUGUGGGCAAUUGUCCUCUUGCUUCUUCAGCACAUGCUUGCAUUCUGCAGCUCUUCCAAGCUUACCAUUCCGAGAGCGUCUUUGGCCAAGUUUCCAGGUACUUGCCAAACCUUUCAAUCACCAGAGUCAUCCAAGCACCCCUUUGCUCACUCCAAAGGAUCACUUCAACCAGAUGGUUUGUCAUAUCUCAUCUGAAGAGUGUUUAACGCUUGUCUCUGGAACAACAUCCCCCUUCAAGCAUAUCAACCAUGCUUGGCCUGGAAUGAUUUAUCAAGCCUUACACCAAGGCUUACAACACCCCCUCAAACGGAUAUUUCCAAGUGCGACAGUCAUUGAGUAUUUUAAUGUGAUCACGAGUUCACCACUCUUCCAAGAGUCUACUCAUCCCGGAGUUGCGUCUGCCCUCUGUUCCUCCCUAGGAACCACGCCUUACUUCUCCUUGAGUCUCCCGCUCUUAGUCUCAAGAGUCCAGGUGGCUCUCCACCUUUAACCAUGGGGACAACCCAUUAAAGGUUGAUCCAUCUCUAUCUUCAUACUCUGAGUAUUACAAUGUCAUUACUGAGCUCACCACCUUGACAAGAGUCAACUUGUUCCCGGAACCUGCACAUGCCCUCUGCUCCUUCAUAGCAGUCGCGUCUUAAUGCUCCACAAGCCAUCCACUUAUUGUCCAAGACAAAUGUCUUCUAGCUCAUUGAUCUUUAGCAUGGGGGCAAUAUCCAUGAAAGUCAAUCCUGCAUUUGUCUCCAUACUCAUCAUAGCCUCCUCAUUGGCUAUACACUUGUCCACUUAUAUCUAGCCAUCACAUUGGCUCUGGGGCGUUCUGAAAUUGGGCUCCUAUCAUGGCCCUCACACCUUCUCCUGAGGUGUCUCCGCCCGUUGUCAUGGGGCGGUCCGAAAUUGGACUCAUAUCAUGGUCCUCACACCUUCCAUCUGAGGUGUCUCCUCCUGUCGUCAUGAGACGGUUUGGACUCAUAUCAUGGUCCUCACACCUUCAAUUUGAGGUGUCUCUGCCUGUCGUCAUGAGACGGUCUGAACUUGGACUCAUAUCAUGGUCCUCACACCUUCUGUCUGAGGUGUCUCCGCCUGUCGUCAUGAGACGGUCUGAACAUGGACUCAUAUCAUGGUCCUCACACCUUCCAUCCGAGGUGUCUCCGCCUGUCAUCAUGAGACGGUCUGAACUUGGACUCAUAUCAAGGUCCUCACACCUUCUCCUGAGGUGUCUCUGCUUGUCGUCAUGAGACGGUCUGUACUUGGGCUCCUUUCAUGGCCCGCACACCUUCUUGCCUGAGGUGUCUCCGCUCAUCGUCAUGUGGCGGUUUGUACUUGGGCUUGUUUUAUGGCCCACACACCUUCUGCCUGAGGUGUCUUCGUCUGUCAUGAAGCGGUCACAUCCUCCUUCAUCGGGGAUGUCUCUAGUGGCUCCAAGAUUCUCUACCACCAUGUGGACUUGGGAGAGAUCACUGCCACUGAUCACAUAGAAAGAGAGAGUUGCGGUGCACUCUUCGCAAUCUUCCAUCUCAUUUUCUAUGUUUGGAGCUUCUGUGCCUUUCUGCUUGAUAGCUCCACCCACACCAACUCUCUUUGGUGUCUUCCCCUUUCAUCGACGGUCGCACCCCCUUAAUUAGGUGCUUCUGCAACAGCUCAUCUUUCCAUCCUUGCAUGCAUUGGAAAGGUCCUCGCUUGUUGCCUUGAUCAAGAGCACAAGAGACUUCCUGUUAUACAACUUUUUCACACAGUCUCUGCUCUGAGCUUCAUCCGGGAACUCUUCUUCUCCUUGCAUCUGUUGUCUCAUUACAGUACCUCGUUGGAUCCUUCGGGUACUCCUGCACAAUCUCCGUGUGCUCUCGUGCAAUUUCGGUUCUCCAGAUUUCUCCAUAUUCUUUGCUUUUAUGUUUGACAGCAGCUCAUCCUGUCACAGCAUUUAUCCAAGUCAAAAUAGGGUGCCAAUCUUUAUCCCUUGUUGUAUUUCUCUUCCAUUAUCAGGGUCUUCAUUAAUUCUCCCUUCGAGAAAUUACAGUCAUCGAAUCUAACUUCUUUGGAGAAAUCACCACUUCCAUCAGAUCCUUGAACAUACGGAACCCAACUGUUCCUUUGUGCCGUCAUCUUGCUAGUCUUCAACAGUUUCAUUACAAACUGUUACAUAUACAAAAAUAGUACUGUGUGGAUGAUCCUUCAACUAAGCAAGUUCCCAGGAAAGAUUUGGAGGGGUCACACUGGUCCCGCUUAAAACCCAAUCUCCUAGACAGAACUUCUUAGAACGUAUCUAUCCACCGUACUGCCUUUUCGUAUAUACAACCAUUUGCUAGCUUUGUUGCGACUUUCCUUUACAAGUGAUCUGGGGUAUCCCGGUUUUAUACCUGAUUUCUCAACAUCUGGCGAGACUACCAGUUCUUAGAUUCGUCAAGAUUGGUCUUCAUCAAUUUCCACUCUCCACCUCAAAUCGUCCACAUGAUCGGGUGUCCAGAGUAUCCCAAUUUUGCCUUCCUUCAAAGCAAUUAAAAUUUCUCCCCACUUAGCAGUUCAGCACAUGUAAUUGGGCAAACAUGUGCACCUUCUCCUUCUUCAUCUCCAUCGACCACCAUGAUGACCUUCAGAUGCCUCCUGAUCGGGCAAUCUCUUUUGUUAAUUCACCACCACCACUUUCGGUCUCAAUCUCAAUGAUCGGACCGUACCAUUGCAUUCGGAACGAUCAAAUUAGCUGGAAACAAGUCUGAAAUCAUCCAAAUCGCAUUUCAGACGGCUAAGAUUUGAUCAAAACAAUUCUGGCCUGAUGAACGGCCCAGAUUCAAUCUCAGAUCCGGUUGCACAUAGACUCUGCUGCACAGAAUCUUAUCCCUCGGCUCGCGGCUCGGCUCGGCUUCACAACAGCUCGGCUCAACUUGGCUCGGCUCAGCUCGCGGCUGAUGAUGUGGCAGGUGGGUCCCACUUUGCUGACGCGUCUGCUGACUGGUCGAUGAUGUGGCUGCUGACAUGGCAUGCCUACUGUGCAUGCUGACAUCACAAUUAUGUCAUGCUGACGUCAUCCAUAUCUGGGUCAGUCACAUGGGUCGGGUCAACUGGUAUUCGGGUCGGGUCAACUUGUAUUCGGGUCGGGUCAGCCCAUCCGGGCGAAGAAGACGCGUGGGGCGCGUGGGCAGACGCCCUGCCGGAGAGUGAUGGAGAGUGCGGCCAUGUCCGACGUCCGAUUUUGACGCCGUUUUCACCAGUGGCUUCGUCUCGGCCUCCUCUACACAGUGGUAUGGUCAAAACACCAUUUUGAGAACUUUCAUUUUUGAGCAAAAAUCAAACACCCCUUUAACCCAUGUGCUCUGAUACCAAUUGUAGGGAAUUCCGACCGGUGAUGUACUGAUAUUUGCUCAUAGGAGGUAAAGCACACUGACACAAUAUUUAACGUGGUUCGGCAAAUUGCCUACAUCCACGGGAGAAGUCAUUGCAUUAUAUAGGGAGAGAACAAGAUUUACAACAAUAGAGGAGGAGGAAUCAUCCCCUCUUUGGCAAGUCUCAACCUCACUCUAUUUCUCUCUUUUCAGUGCUGCAAUGGCAGCUACUGUUGGCUGCCUUGGCAGCCCACUCUCUCCUACAUUUCUCACAUCUUUGGCUCUACACACUCUCUCUUAACUCUCUCAUUUUGCUCUCAACCGUAUGCCUCUAUUUAUAGGCAUCCAUGGUGCUGCUCCAUUUGUUCUUUGGUCAAUAAUGGUGGCUGCCAACUCCAGCUCUUCUUCAACAAAGGU